GGAAACACAGAGAGGCAAAGUUACGUCGGGCGGUUCCGGUAUUCCUCUCUGCGAGACACCAUGGUGGCCCUUGGAAGAGCGGACCCGGGAGGCGAGUCUCUUGCUUAUUUCACUUCAACUGCUUGGCUUCAGAAAAUAGCAAGGAACACGUCCCGGGCACUUUUGUCCUUCCGUCCGUCCUUCCGUCCGUCCAUCCGCCCGUCCGUCCAUCCAUCCGUCCACCCAUCCAUCCAUCCAUCCAUGCAACAAGGAUUUAGCAACCAGCCACUCUAUGCUUUGCACUAGGAAUACAAAGACAUCGACAAAACCAGCCCUGUCCUUAAAGAAUUAACCCUGCUUUGGAAAGUAAGAUUACAGCACCAGGAUCUGAGACUAUGGGAAUACUUGGAAGGCGGUGUGGUUUUAGCGGCUAGAGUCCUGGGCCUGGGGUCAGGAGCCCUGAGUUUGAAUCUUAUCUCAGACACUCAUCAGCCCAUGUGAUCAAAGCCCAGAGACGUUGCUGGGAGGCCCCGGACCCAAUGUUAGCACCUACUCUGAACUCUUCCUCGAGGCCAAUUUUGUCCAAGGGCGCCGUGGGGCUGUGAAGGGAUUGGAGAUGCUUCUCCAGGGAGGCUACGUCCAGCUCUGUGUCUCCGUAGAGACCACAGACACCUCCCAGCUUCCCAUCCCUAACUCACAAAGAAAAAACAAACCAACACAGCCAUCAGAGCUGACAGGGUAUGCAACGUUCAACACCCAGAGUCCCCCCCUCUCCCCUGGAAGGGCCAUGAUCGCACACUGGAGCUGAGCCUUGUUCUAACAGACGAGGAGCUGAGGGGAGGGAGGGCAGGGCCUUUGGUCCAAAUCCCUCAGCCACACAGCGUUUUCAUUAACAUCAUCGGAGUUGUUUUAUGGGGCCGAAGGGCCCAUAUGUGAGUGUAUGGACUCAGUCUGCAAGAUGGAUCAGAACGAAAAGUUCCGUAAAUG